CCUACGGGAGGCAGCAGUGGGGAAUAUUGGACAAUGGGCGAAAGCCUGAUCCAGCCAUGCCGCGUGUGUGAAGAAGGCCUUCGGGUUGUAAAGCACUUUCAGUGGGGAAGAAAGCCUUGGGGCUAAUACCCUCGAGGAAGGACAUCACCCACAGAAGAAGCACCGGCUAACUCCGUGCCAGCAGCCGCGGUAAUACGGAGGGUGCGAGCGUUAAUCGGAAUUACUGGGCGUAAAGCGCGCGUAGGCGGUCUGAUAAGCCGGUUGUGAAAGCCCCGGGCUCAACCUGGGAACGGCAUCCGGAACUGUCAGGCUAGAGUGCAGGAGAGGAAGGUAGAAUUCCCGGUGUAGCGGUGAAAUGCGUAGAGAUCGGGAGGAAUACCAGUGGCGAAGGCGGCCUUCUGGACUGACACUGACGCUGAGGUGCGAAAGCGUGGGUAGCAAACAGGAUUAGAACCCCAGUAGU
rnacentral:rRNA from 1 species